GAUGAACGCUGGCGGCGUGCCUAAUACAUGCAAGUCGAGCGAACGGACGAGAAGCUUGCUUCUCUGAUGUUAGCGGCGGACGGGUGAGUAACACGUGGAUAACCUACCUAUAAGACUGGGAUAACUUCGGGAAACCGGAGCUAAUACCGGAUAAUAUUUUGAACCGCAUGGUUCAAAAGUGAAAGACGGUCUUGCUGUCACUUAUAGAUGGAUCCGCGCUGCAUUAGCUAGUUGGUAAGGUAACGGCUUACCAAGGCAACGAUGCAUAGCCGACCUGAGAGGGUGGUCGGCCACACUGGAAAUUGAACACGGUCCAGACUCCUACGGGAGGGAGGAGUGGGGAAUUUUCCGGAAUGGGCGAAAACCUUACGGAGCAACGCCGGGGGAGUGAUGAAGGUCCUCGUAUCGUAAAACUCUGUUAUUAGGGAAAAACAUAUGUGAAAGUAAAUGGGCAAACUUUGACGGUCCCUAAUGAGAAAGCCACGGCUAACCACGU
rnacentral:rRNA from 1 species